GGGCCGGUGGUCUAAUGGUAGGACGCUGCCCUUACGAGGCAGAGGUUCCAGGUUCGAGUCCUGGCCGGCCCA
rnacentral:tRNA from 1 species